rnacentral:rRNA from 1 species
GACGAACCGUGCGAACGUUAUUCGGAAUCACUGGGCUUAAAGCGCGUGUAGGCGGGACGGCACGUCGGUCGCUGAAAGCCCCCGGCUCAACCGGGGAACGGGCGCCGAGACGACCGCCCUGGAGGGACGUAGGGGGACCUGGAACUUCCGGUGGAGCGGUGAAAUGCGUUGAGAUCGGAAGGAACGCCCGUGGCGAAAGCGAGGUCCUGGACGUCUGCUGACGCUGAGACGCGAAAGCCAGGGGA